GCAGAACCUUCUGGUAAAUGUUAUUCUGGCAUGCUAGGUGGCUUGCAUUCUUGGGUGAUUUUUCUCUUGAGUGGGCAUAUAACCUUCUUUGUUACAAUAGCUACAAGCCAGAACUGUGGCUGCACCAGCAAAACCUAUUUUGUAUAUGAGUUGAGCCUACUAGUGAGAAUUUUUUUCUGGACUUUGUCCUUAAAACUUUAUUUCCUCAGAUUUAGUCCAUUACUCAUAAUUAUACACUUAUGACUGCCUAAAAUAAUCUCCUCUGUCCUUGAGUCUAUCCUUUCAAUUACUUAAUCAUGUUUUACACAGCUGUGAUUUAAUUAAGCUAUAUAUUUCGUUAUUUUAACCCUUCUCAUAAAGCUUCUUGUUCUUCUUUGUCUUCAUCACAUGGAUGGGUUAGCGAAUUUCCUCAGAAAAGCAACAAAAAAAAUCUUAAAUAUUGCUUUAAAUACUUCAGUAAUGUGUUUUAAGUGAAGGCUCUUGCUCUGAUUCUUUCAGUUUCUGAACUCAUUCAAUUCAAUGCUUGGGAAGGCUUAUAUUGCUCUACUUUAGCUGAGCUAAGGUACAAGGGGAUUAUCAAACUAUGGUCAUAUCCAUGCCCAUCCACCCAGUUUUCUUACUUAGAAUAACUGGCUCUGGGUGUCACUGCCUAGCAAUUGAAUCAGACAUACCCAAGAAUUCAGCCUGUCUUUUUUGCCAAAAUGAUUUUUGGUGGCUUCAUGUUGAUUUUCAGUGUCAAUACAGGCUGGGAAAUCAGGACCUCAUGAUCCUUCUGGCUUUCUGGGUUUUAAACAGGAGGUGCCAGAAAAGUUACCACAGGGAUAACUGGCUUGAGGCAGCCAAACAUUCAUAGGGACAAAGCCUUUUGAUCCUUCAAUGUCAGUUCUUCCUAUCAUUGUGAAGCAGACUUCACCAAGCGUUGGAUUGCUCACCUACUAAUAGGAAAUGUGAGCUGGGCUUAGACCAUUGUAAAACAGGUUAGUUUUACCCUACUGAUGCACAAUAUGAAGUCUGCAGAGGGCUGUGCUGUGGACUGCCUCCUCCAUAUGGGGCCCCUUACUGUGGUAGGAUUUGUCAGCAUGGUCUGCUCCUUGGCUCCUGCAAACCAGUAUAGACAGUUGGUUGUUCAUCAGAUGUCUUAGCAUAUAAUCUGAAAUUGUGAACCUAUACAGGGUCUUCAGAGAUGAAAAACAAUAAUAAUUCUUUAUUUCAAAUAUAUCUACAUGUUUUUAAAGGAAGAUGUGAAGUAAAAUUGAAUCAAAUACAGAUGAUGAUUCAUUCAACUCCUGCAAACACACUGGAGGUUAGAGAUCAUCUGCAGAUUGGA
rnacentral:ncRNA from 1 species